UCCAACAAAAAACUCUCUCAAAUUUAAGUUAUUUUGUAAUAACAUGUGUUGAAGACGACAUUAAUGAAUCUAAAAGUAUUCAAGUCCAUCAUCUACCUUGGCUUAAUGAGGUAGCAAUUGUCGUAAUAAGGUAGCAAUUGAAAGAGAUAGUAUCGAUUCUUUUAUCCCCAUCUGAAGAAGAGAGUUCAAUUUCAAAAGACGUCAUCAGAGAUCGAGGAAAGCAAUAAGGGAAUCAGAGGUUCGAAUUUUGCUAUGGACCAUGAGGUAAAAAAGUUUGUUUGUAGCAGAGAAAUGAUAAAUUCUUAUACCUACAACCGACGAUCUCAGAAAGAGCAUGCGGGUGUUCAGUGACAACACGAAGAACGUCUUAGAAGUGGAAUUCAACGGAGAAAGCAAAGAGGGGAGAGAAAGAUUUUGCCGCCGAAAAAGAAUAGUGACCGGAGCGUGAAAUGGGUUAAAAUGAUGAUGGAUUGGAGUUUUAUCUAAUGCUACAAUUAAAAGGAUAAAAAAAAUAAUCAUAUCAUUUAAUUAGAGAGUGAGAUGUACUAUUUGAGGCUGAGAACAUAAUUGAUGUAAAAGUGUGUAUUUAUUAUGGUUAGGACUAGUUUCAUGGUGUAAUAGAACCUCAUAAAUUUUAG
rnacentral:lncRNA from 1 species